ensembl:rRNA 5S_rRNA 5S ribosomal RNA
GCCCACAGCCAUAUCACCCUGCAACUCACAACUGGCAGCCCACUGAAGCUCAGCAGGUGUGAGCCUGGUCAGUACCUGGAUGGGAGACCUCCUGGGAAAAACUAAGGUUGCUGCUGGAA